rnacentral:misc_RNA from 1 species
AAAAAAAAAUAAAAAAAUAAAAACAUCAGAGCAGAAAGAAAGAUUUUGAGUGAGAAAGAACCAUGAGGCCACCUGCAGCUGCUGCAAUCAACUCCACUGCUAGUGCAGCUGGUGCGUACGGCAGCGGAUUAGAGCACUGGAAGUCUCCGAUCCUUUACCUAUUUGGAGGGUUUGCUGUGAUGUUUGGACUCGUCGCCAUGGCAUUGAUUAUUCUAGUUUGCUAUUAUGAAACUUCACCAUCCAAUUCACCUCCUGAUGAUGUUGAUGAGGCUCAAAAAAAAAAUCUCAUCUCAGUAUGCGGCCCUUGGAGAUGGAGCCAAAGAUUGUCGUCAUCAUGGCUGGUGAUUAUAACCCUACUUACUUGGCCAACCCUGUGCCUUGCACUUGCCAAUCUCAUCAACAACUGUAACUUAUAUCUAUCAUCCAUCUUUUAGGCCUCUCUGUCGC